ACGGCUCAGUAACACGUAGUCAACCUAACCUAUGGACGGGAAUAACCUCGGGAAACUGAGAAUAAUGCCCGAUAGAACACUAUGCCUGGAAUGGUUUGUGUUCCAAAUGAUUUAUCGCCAUAGGAUGGGACUGCGGCCUAUCAGUUUGUUGGUGAGGUAAUGGCCCACCAAGACUAUUACAGGUACGGGCUCUGAGAGGAGUAGCCCGGAGAUGGGUACUGAGACACGGACCCAGGCCCUAUGGGGCGCAGCAGGCGAGAAAACUUUGCAAUGUGCGAAAGCACGACAAGGUUAAUCCGAGUGAUUUGUGCUAAACGAAUCUUUUGUUAGUCCUAGAAACACUAACGAAUAAGGGGUGGGCAAGUUCUGGUGUCAGCCGCCGCGGUAAAACCAGCACCUCAAGUGGUCAGGAUGAUUAUUGGGCCUAAAGCAUCCGUAGCCGGCUCUGUAAGUUUUCGGUUAAAUCUGUACGCUUAACGUACAGGCUGCCGGGAAUACUGCAGAGCUAGGGAGUGGGAGAGGUAGGCGGUACUCGGUAGGAAGUGGUAAAAUGCUUUGAUCUAUCGAUGACCACCUGUGGCGAAGGCGGUCUACCAGAACACGUCCGACGGUGAGGGAUGAAAGCUGGGGGAGCAAACCGGAUUAGAUACCCGGGUAGUCCCAGCUGUAAACUAUGCAAACUCAGUGAUGCAUUGGCUUGUGGCCAAUGCAGUGCUGCAGGGAAGCCGUUAAGUUUGCCGCCUGGGAAGUACGUACGCAAGUAUGAAACUUAAAGGAAUUGGCGGGGGAGCAC
rnacentral:rRNA from 1 species